rnacentral:rRNA from 1 species
AGCAGUCGCCACGGUAAUACGAGGGGGGCAAGCGUUGUUCGGAAUUAUUGGGCGUAAAGGGUGCGUAGGCGGCUUGACAAGUCUUGUGUGAAAUCUAUGGGCUCAACCCAUAGUCUGCACGGGAAACUGUCGGGCUUGAGAAUGGGAGAGGUGAGUGGAAUUUCCGGUGUAGCGGUGAAAUGCGUAGAUAUCGGAAGGAACACCUGUGGCGAAAGCGGCUCACUAGACCAUUUCUGACGCUGAUGCACGAAAGCUAGGGGAGCAAACAGGAUUAGAUACCCCCGUAGUCCCUGUCUCUUAUAC